CUUCUGAAUCUCUCUCAAGCAAGAUCACCACCGUCUUCUUGGAGAAUUCUUGGAGCGUCUAACGAAUUCAAUCUGAAACAGGAAAAUGAAAAUGUCAGAUCACAAAAGUCUCAGAACAAUUUGUGUUCUGUCUAUUUAUAGCUUUCUAUUUCAUCAUAUUGAUUCAUAGUCGAAUAGCCUACUAAUAUAGUUGACUGUAUUAUAACAAUUAUAACAGACAAUCAACAUAAAGGCUCCUUAGUCAACAAAAUCAAUACACAUUUAUUAUAGUUGACUAGGUCAUUCAGUUUUAACUAACUUUCAAAAAUAUAGCCGUUGGAGCUUGUAGGCUUAACAAAAUUUCAAACACAACAAAAACACAGUCGAAUAUGCAUUUCACAAUGUAUACUGACACAUGAAAAAUCACUUUGAAAUUCUUUUCAGCUCAAAAUCUCACACAUCACUUGUUCACAAAACUGUACAAAGAUUUUAGCAUAGGCGAAUCCAUUAAGAGUGUAUUCAACUGGACUAGAAUACUAGCGACGUCUAUAAUACUAUAGACGUCAGUGCCCCUAGAAACUAACGUCUAUAUGUUUGACAGGUAAGUGAAAUGUCAUUUCUUUCCGUCAUAUAGACAUUUGUGCCCCUCCUACCCGACGUCUAUAGUUUGGUAGGUAGGUGAAAAGUUUUUAAUUUUUUCCGCCAUCUAGACGUCCGGUCCCGCCAUCUGACGUCUAUAUGUGAUUAUAGACGUCAGGGCUCCACCGAAUCGACGUCUAUAGUCUGACCAGGUAUGUGAAAAGUCAUUUGUUUCCGCCAAGUAGACGUCUUGUCACGUAAAGUCGACGUCUAUAUAUAACACAAAUACUAAUUUUUAAAUCGAAUGGACGUAUAUUAUUGAGGUGCCCGAUGUAUAUGCGAUUAUAAACGUUGGGUUUGUGGGCAACUGACAUCUAAUUUCUUGUUAAAUAAUUAGUGCGAACCAGUAAUUUGCGAACCAACAGUUUGAUCGUCUUCCUUCGCUUUUUCUCUCCGUGCUCUGCAUUUUCAGGUGUGUUUGAUCUCCCGUGAACCAUUUAAAGUUGUUUUUACUCCGAUUAAAGUAAUCUUUAAUGUAUUAUCUUUCAUUUGAACCAAUUAAAAUGAGUUUUCGUUGUGUUUUGGUGCAGUUUUUCUUGUGUCUUUGGGUAGCGUAGUGCACCUUCUCCCUUUGCAAGUUUCCUCAUUAGAAAAAUUUGCGUUUCUUGGAUCUCUUUUGGCAUUCCAACUUGAAGUCGAACCUGGGUCCUUGCAUAGUGUCAUUCCCAUUGCCAAAGAAAAAGAAUACGGUGACACCUUAUUCUUUUUCAUUGGCGGUCAAAAUGGACUUAUGCAACGACUCAGAUUCGUCUUUGGGUUGAAAUGCCAUAAGAGAUGCAAAAGACGCGAAGAAACUAGCAAAGGAAGGAGGUGUUACUACGCUACCCAAAGACACGAGAAAAACUGUACCAAAACAAACGGACACUUCAUAAAACGUCGAUUAAUGCACUGACCAACAUCUAUAGUGCCCUUAGACGUUGGUUAAUGCAAUGUCUGACGUCUUUAUAGACGUUGCACAUGUCAUUGAACCGACAUCUAUAGUGCCCUUAGACGUGAGUUAGUGAAAUGUCUAAUAUCUUUAUAGAUGUCACACUUGUCAUUGAACCGAUGUCUAUAACGACGUCGCACUUGCAGAAAUUCGAAGUCCCAUUAACGUCACCCAUAAAGACGUCGGUUCGGGAGGUGACGUGAAAAGCCUAGAAUAACUGACGUGUAAAGCCCUUUCUGCACUAGUGAUUCUCUUCAAUCUCUUCCUCAUUGAUAACGGUUUAAAACACUGUUAUUUGAAAUGAGAUUUUGAUACUAAAAACACCUUUUUUCACUUAGAAACUUACUUGGACUCAUCCUUUUUGAAUAAAUUGAGUGAAUAAGAGAGUUGAGGUUGAUUUGAAUGAUUUUAUGACUAAUUCCCCUUGUUUUGACAAAGAUUAAGGUAAUACUGGAAGAAUAGAAGAAAUACCAAGAAGAGGGAGCUCAGAAGGGGUCAAAAAGGUACCAAAAGGAAGGAAAACACGCAGCCCAAGCGUUCAGAAGCGCAACUGAAGCGAGAAAAAUCGACGUUCAUCGCCUGAGCGAUGGCCCUCGACGCCCAAGAGGUGGGGCUUCGUAGCCUGGGCAUCCAAAUCUGAUGCCUGGGCCUUACAUGUCCCUCAAUUCACGCCCGAGCGGCCCCCCUACGACGCUUAAGCGAGAAUUCACGUGGAUCAGACCGUGUUUCUGCUCUGUUUUAAUUCUUUUGGACCAGGCCUCGCUCUGGCACGCCUCUGACACUAUUUGAAGGACCCUAGGGCUCUAGGUUUGACAUCCCUGGCAGAGAAGAGCAUAGCAAUACACUCUUAGCCUACUCUUAAUCUUCCAUUCUCAUUUUUUCUUCUAUUGUUCAUAGAGUUCCCCCACGUCUAUGGGGAACUAAUUUCUAUUUGUUGUUGGGGAAUGAUGUAACCUUGUAAAAUAUCACGUAUUUGAAUUGAUUCUUAAUUCCAUAUGUUUUUUCAUUAAUUGUUAGAGUAAUUCAUCUGUUUCUAUUCUUGCUUAUACAAUAACAUUAUUUAUGAAUUGCAUGAGUGCUGGGAGGUUCCUUUCAAUUCAGGUUCUUGUUGAAUUACUCCUAAGGGUUAUAUUGCUCAAGGAUGAGGGUAUGAGUCUUAGUCAUCUUAACCUCUUGAUCUUCAAAUCUUUUUACCAGGAAUGCUAAGAAUUAUAUGAACUGGUAAUUAGGGAUAGGCUUAUUUACCGAAGGAUCGGGUUUAAGUGAUUCAGUGAGGGACGUUGGCAUUAAUGCAUAAAGAAGAAUUCUUAUAUACAUGAGAGGGAACUUGGUGAAAUCUAACCCCAACAACAUAUCCAUCUCAUAUAAAUCAACCUCCGUUCAUAUUUUUGCUCCUUUGCCAUUGAUCAAUUGCAAUCUUUAUUUUAUUUAUUAUUUUUGCAUCCCAAACCCAUAAUCUCUUUUAUUUGAAGUCUUAAUUAAUCUUCUUUUCACACAACUGUUCAACACCGAAAGUCCUCUAGGAUACGAUACUUGGUCUUACCACUUUAUAUUACUUGUGCGACUCGGUACACUUGCUGAUUUGCCCCAACAAGUUUUUGACGCCGUUGCGAGGGACUCAUAGUUUAAGCUAUUCUAUUUGUGUGAUUCUUGAUUAAUUUUGACUUUUUUUUAUUUUUCCCAUUUUUAGUAACAGUACAUAUGUUGCUGCAUUACAUGUUCUUAUGUUUUACUGUUUGAUAAAUCUGCUGAACAUGUUUGAUGUACUGUGGUGUAUGUUCCUAUGCUAAUUGUUUGAUAUAUUUGUGAAACAUGCUUAUAUGCUUAUGUGCAAUGUGAAAUACUUUAUCAAAUAUAGGUUACUACACAUUUUGCAAAGUGAAAAAUGACAAGCACUUUUAUGAACUUAUAAUUGUGUGACAAAGUUAUAGUACAGUCGACUACAUUAGUACUGGAUUUGACUAUGUUAAAACCUUUGUACAGAUUUUGAGAAUCAGUGCUCUGUGACGUUUUGAAUUGAAAAGAAUUUCAAAGUGGUUUUUCAUGAGACAGUCGACCUUGUCCAAUGUACAUUCAUGCCACUGCGCUCUAACGGCUAUAUUUUUAAAAGUUAGUUAAGCAUUGAUGACUUAGUCAAUUGUAUUAAAUGUGUGUUUCUUCUUGUUGACUGAGAGCUACUAUGUUGACUGUCUAUUAUAACUGUACUAAUACAGUCGAUUGAAUUAGUAACGUAUUCGAUUGAGAAACAAUCUGAAUGACAGAAAACUAUAACUUGACUAAACGCGAAUUGUUCAAAGACUUUUGACGCUCUAACAUUUUCAUUACUUGUUUUAGAUUGAAUUCUCUGUUUUAACAACUCCAAGAAUUCUCCAAGAGGACGGUGGUGAUCUUUCUUGAGAGAGAUUCAGAGAGAGAUAGCUUGUGCGCUCCUGCUUGAUCAAAAACUACACAAGAAGGUGAUUCUUGAUUGAUCGUUGAAGGCUUAGCAUCUUGUGAAGACUACUACACUUUGUGAAGGCUUGACAUCUUGUGAACCUGUUGUGAUACAGGGGUUACACGUUGAGAAUUGUUCGACGUGGGUUCAGAUUGCAGAAGAGAGGAUUCUUGCCGCAAGUCUGGUUUUUGUUGUUGCAGCUAUAUUUUGGUUUUGGGUUAGAGAGGAGAUUUAUAUUUUUGAAGUGAGGUCUUCUAUAAAUUCCUUGUUGUAAAAACCACAACCAUUAUAGUGCAUUUGCUUCUUGGGUUGGAAGGACACUGGAUGUAUGCAUUGUUGGCCGAACCAGUAUAAAAACCAGUGUUUGAUUUUCUCUAUCCAUGCAUUCUUUAAUUCCAGUCGACUUUAUCUGUUAAGCAGUCAACUACGUUUCCGCUGCAUAUAAAUUUUCAUUACUUGCAUUUCAAGAAAGAUCAAAAAACUUUAUACUUUUGAUAAAAGAUUGCGAAAAGAUUUUGUUUUUGAAACAUCACCAAUUCACCUCCCCUCUUGGUGUUAAAACGAAACCUACUUGUUUCUCAACAUCAUCACCCUCCAAUGUUUGCUCCAACGAAACAUCAUCUACCUCUGCUCACAUCCAAGUGGAUGAGCAUUGCAAAGAGAACACGUACACAUACAAAACACAAACAAACAACAAGGGUAAGCUAGGUUGAAAAGCAUACACGAUAUCUAAAGACAUUUGUAAUGUAAGAAUCAUAUUCACACAAUUAAACAAGCAAUGCAUACUAUCAUGUUAUAACUCAGUUAAACUCGACCGGACUUAGAAUGAAUAUCGAUCUAGGACGGGUUGUGCAGGUGGCCUCUACUACUUUGCAAAGCCAUUGUCAACGGGUUUCACCCUACCACACACAAGUGUUAGUCCGUUACCGCACAAUAGGCUUCCAAGUAAUGCCUACACUAAGACCACCUACUACUCUCACCACAUGCGUCAAUCCUCUCUAAGUGAGAAUGAAACCCUUAGAGUGUUAGGAUAAUCCCUCAUAAAGAAGCCUCUUAUAUUCAUUCUAAACACUAUGAUGAUCUCACCUAGAGAUCUUACCUUGAAUUGUAACCACAUCACAUUUUAACAAAGUUCCCUAUUAUCUUAGUAAUAAACAUCCUCUCAUCAUUUAUAACAUAUCAUUCACAAUCAUACAAAACCAUAUAUAAGUCACACAUCAACUAUCAUUCACAAAGAAAGUAGAAAAGAAUAUGUCAUAGCGAAAUGAUUCGCUUGGCACACAAGCUCGCUAUGCGAAACCAAGUAACAUUCGCAUAGCGAAUCUGGUUCACAUAACGAGUCCUUAGACAAAGGCAACCCAGUUCAACGCAUUCGCAUAGCGAGGGAUCUCGCACUUCGAAUUAAACCACAAAGGCUCCAGGCCUCCCACUCUCGCAUAGCGCAUGUAUCAUGCUCCUCAAAUUAAUUAGUAAAUUUCCAGACCCAACACCAAUGGCACAACAAAUCCAAUUCACAAGGCGCCUACCACUCUCAUUCGAGAUUCGAAGAGUGCACCUCAUGCGCUACGCGAAUGCCCUAGCAGAGAGCAAUUCACCAACACGACUCGUUGUGCGACGCACAGCGAGUCUGCAAAUUCUGCAGAAUUGCAGAACUCAACUACUCGAAUUUCAUUCUAGGCUUUUUGAUGAACUUCUAACACUCCUAAUUUGAUCUACAAAAUGAAUUGAACUUGCCUGAUUGAUUUUAACAGUUUCUAACCUCAUUAUCUAGUGAUUAUGCAUUGGUUUACACUUUAAAUCUUCAAUUUCAUCCACCUAGCUACCCAAUUCUAACUCUACAACUUAGAAACUGUUUUUAACACUUUUAACACUUCUAAUAGGUCACAAUUGACUUACUUAAGCUAUCUAAACUGGCCAGAACAACCUGAAAUACCCAAUUCAAAUUUUGACUGCCUUGGUUCUCUUCAUAGGACCUAAAACCCCAAUAUUUCACUUGACUAUCUUUUAUUAAUCUGUUUAACAAAAUUCAUUCGAUCUAACCACUAAAUAUCAUCGCAACAUUGUAUCAAUACCAGUUCAUAAGCAUCCAAUUCACAGUUCAUAACAGACUCAACCAGUAGCACAUGUUCAACUAGGCAAAAAUCACAAAUUCUCAUAUUAGCUAUAAUCAAAGUCUAACACAUAAUCUUCACAUGCAUUUUAUCACAGUUUCUACUGAAUCUAACUCGUGCAACCCAAGAAUUUCACAGAACAACACAACAACCGCAGCUUCCCUUACCUCUAAGUCGAACCGCUCAAAUCACAGGAAGAUCUCGAUAUCUCACUUACUCUUCAAGAAUAGGUUAGAGCCACCUAUAGAUUAUCAAUUGAAAAGAGAAAAUAGAUUUUGAAACCUAAUUGUGUCUAUAACUUGAAGGAAGGCGCAAUGUACUACAUGCAGCAAGGCUUGCUACAUGAUCACAACCCUAACAUAGAAUAGGAAUAUGGAAAAUGACUUACCGGAGGACAACAAAAAAAAUUGAUCGGAUGGGAUUGUUGCUCUUGAAGCCCGGAUUGUCUAGGCAGCGUCUGAUCAACAAACUAACUGUUAACAUUUGAGUUGAGAUGGAGAGAUGGUAGAGCAGAGAAGAAGAAAACGUUGAAGAGAGGCAAGGUUUUUAGAUAAUGGGAAAUGAACUCAGAACUUUUCAAGAGUUUUACUAAUAAUGGUUCAACCCAUUAUCUUCUGCCACGUGUUCACCCUCCUAAUGUUGUCUUUUUCUCAGGCUUUACAUAAAUGCUUCCUCCAUUAAACAAUUCGUUAUUAAAAAGGAAGUAUUAUUAAAAUGCUACAACAUAAAUAUUUUAACAACUGAAAAGCACUUGAAAAGAUUUUAUUAUUUUCCAAAGUCAAGCAUCUAACUAUUAGCAUAAAGUCUUUCAAUCCUCAAAUAAAGUUUGCGAAAAGUUUUUCAAUAACACUAUUCAACCCUUUCAAUUGUUUUCUAGGUACUUCAUGCUCAAAUGCUUGCUCUAUUGUUUUGUUGGUGUGUACAAUGGUUUUGGUAAAUUACUGGUUCUUCGGUGGCAUGCCCUUAUCAUUGUUCACCAUUAUUGAGACAUUCUUAUAGAAAGUGAAGCUUUUUAUACUGAUUGAAGAAUCAAAUAUAAAAAAAAAAAUAAUUACCUUUUAUUUAAUUGAUAUAAAAUGGCUUUCCUACACUAAUAUGUUAAAACUAAUGUUUAGAGGAAGUUAACAAAGUCACAAUAGUGGGUUUUUGUACGGAUAUGGACAAAUUUGACUGCUUAAUUAUGGAAAUAGGCAAAUUUGGGAAAAAUUACGGAAAUAGAGAAGUCGUGGGGGCCCAAAAGACUUCUAAUAAAGAAGUCUUACCCCCCAAGCACGACUUCACAUUGUUCACAUGAACAGUGAUGAAGUCGUGCACCCCAAAAACGACUUUAGCUCUUUGUAAUCGAUUACAGGGAGCUGUAAUCGAUUACAACGUGGUAAAGUCGUGCCCUCCCUGCACGACUUCAACUUUGUAGGCAAAAAUGGGCCUGGUAAUCGAUUACAAACUCAUUGUAAUCGAUUACCAACUGGUGAAGUGUAGUAGUACUGCUUGGUAAGCUAUUACAGCAUGGUUGUAAUGGCUUACUAGAGUGUUGUAUGUGCAAAAUGUCCCUGGUAAUCGGUUACAGCCUGGUGGUAAUCGAUUACCAGAAUUCUUUGGGUGUUGAACAACAAUUUUAAUGAGGUCUUUUAGAAUUGCUCAUCUUCCUUUCCCCUGCGAACAAAACAAACAAACCUUUUAUCAAACAUUUUUAUAACUCUUUGUUUUCUUAAAUGCUUUUUUUUUUGUCUGAAACAGAGAAAAUUACUGAAAUUGUUGAAUCCAUUUAUGUACAAUUUCUUCAAGCCUGCUAUUGAACAAGAGAUGCAGAUUUGAAAAGUAUAUAUUAUUAUAGAAUAAAGACAUACAAAAUUCUUUAAUAAUCAAUAUUUCUUAGGAGGCGGCAGCUUUAACACGUAUAGUUAGAACAAGAAAUAAUUGAGAGUCAAAUUGGUGAUGAUGAAUAUCAUACCUUCUCAGUAGGUCCUCCUGUUUUUCCUCUAAUGAAACCUACAUAAGUUCAAAUGUAAAGUAUGAGUUAUUUUCAACCAACCAAUGAGACAAUUAACUAUAGUUGCACUUUGAAAAUUAUAAAAUGAACACUUAUGCUCAUUCCCACGCUGCCAGCAAGAUUACCAAAUGAAUGGAAAACUGAUUCUUACGUUUCCAUAGUCCUCAAUUAGAGCACCUUUUGUAAUUUCUCACAGCUUCACUGAACCAGAAGUAUCCUAUGAAGAGCCAUUUACCAGCACCGAAGACGGCAAAAAGAUUACGGAAUAAAUCUCAAUAUUAACAUGUUUUGCAUAAUAACACGAACAGAAAACACCGUGAUUACCUUUGUCAGGACAAUGCCUUUUAUCAUCCAAAACAACAUGUUGUACCAUUGCAGGGAUACUAGGAAUAGUUAAUGUUGGUUGUUUAUAUACAGGAACCUAUAUAAAGAUAUGCACACACCAAACUAUAUAAAGUGUGUUUGGUUUAUCAUUCUUUAUUUACCCCAAAUUUUCAUUCUUUAUUUGGUUUAUCAUAAAAAGGAGUAUUCAACAUUUACAGUAUACCAAAAAGUUAAAAUACCAAUAAAUAAAUAAAUAAAAUCACAAUAUUCUAAAAGUUCUCAGAUUUCUCACAUUUGCCUAAAUUUAUAGUGAUUUUGCUAAUCUAUUUCUUCAAUUAAUCCUCUUACGUCAUUUAGGAAGGGAGUAUCUCUUGAUGCCUGUAAUAAAUAAAGAAUAUAAGUUAUUUAAAUUUAAUUUUUAUCAAAAUAAAUUAAAACAGCAAUAUAAAAAACGUAUAGCUGAAAAUUGAUAAAAGGAAACAAAACUAUCCUAUCUCAUAAUAUAGAGAAAAGGAAGAUUAUCAUCAGAAUGAUAAUAUUGUGAGACAAUGUCUUCUACAAUUAUUUUAGUGCAUUGAAAGUGAUGGUAACAGAGGGCUACAAGUGACUAAAUUUAAUUCAUUCCAUUCUAUUAGUAUUUAUUUGUAAUUCUCUCUUAUCAUUCAACAACAAAGUCAAUAUAUUUUUAAAUUAUAAUUCCACCCAGACAUUCUUUAGAUAUAAUUAAUAAAAUUAGCGCAUUGGACUUUUGAGAAAAACAAAUAUAACAUACAGGAGUAGAUUCUUAUAAUGACACCCUUAUUCUCGAAAGUGACAAAUUUCCAAUCAGUAGAGAAUUUUCUCUUUCAAAAAUCUUUCGAGGGUUCCGUCCUUGAGCACUCCAUCUGUGAACUGAAGAGUCCGUUGAUGUAACCCAUAUGUUAUCAUCAUGCAAAGCCAAUUGAAGAAUAGGAUUUUCCUCAGUACAGAGCAAAGCACUCUCUCUUGUUUGCAAGUCUGUCAAGUAUACACAUAUAAAACAAUUAGGAAGCACAAUAAAGGGACAUUACAUAAAAUUCAAUUAAUCUUUUAUGCAAAACUGCACUCAUUGAAAGAUCUCUGCCACCACUGUAAACGAUUUUGCUACUAUUAUAUAGAUGAUAAGGUAAAUAUAUAGUUGACUCCCACAUUGAGUUGUUUUUUACAUCUGAUUAAACAAAACUAUUCUAAAAGUUACAUCCGGUUUCUAAUUCCUAAAAACUAGACUCUAAUAUAUGUAAAUGACCAGCUAAAGCAAAUAUAAUGAGAAGCAAUGAAGAAUUACCUUCACAAAGAAGUAAUUAAUAUCUAACAACAACAACUUUGAUUCAAAGUAAUGAGCCAAGCAAACACCACCAAACCACCCUAUGCAUCUUUGAAGUCAUUAAUAUCUAACAAAACUUAACAAGCUUACAUCUUGAAACACUGUCAAGGAGGUAAACCAAGUGUUAACACCGUCGAGGAGGCCGUGAAGAAGGAGGUGACUCCGGUCAACGACUGAUUCCACCUUGUGCGACUCACUCGCAAACUCCUCAAAAACGCCAAUCGCAAGAUCGGCUAGCUUUAGGUUUUUGGAAUUAAGGAUUUGAAAUAGAGAAAAACAAGAGAAUUGGGGAUUGCGAAGUGACGAAGGACUGUGAGGAUAGAAAAGUCGAGACGCGAAGGCUGUGAAGAUGGAAACGACAAGACACAAAGGUUGGGAAGAUGGAAAUGGCGACCCGUGCGAAUCACAAGCUCCUCAAAACCACCAUCGGAGAUCUCCUGAAAAACGUCAAUCGCAAGAACAGUGAGCUCCUAAUGCUUGGGUUUUCGGAAUUAGGAAUUUGGAGGAGGAGAAGGCUAGGGAUUGCGAAGUGACGAAGGAUUGUGAAGAUGAAGAAGUCGAAAGGCGAAAGCUAAAAAUGAAGAAGGGGAGACACGAAGGUGAAGGUGGAAAUGACGCAGUGUAGAAAGUCAAAGAAGGGGAGACGCGAAGAUGAAGGUGGAAAUGACGCAGUGAAGAAACUCAAAAAUACCUCAAGCUCUGAAGGUGAAAAACAAAGUUCUAUUUGGGUGUGGAAAAAUUAUGAUAAAAAAAUUAAAAAAAAAAAAAAAAACUUGACUGCGGUUAUGUAUAAAAUCGCCUAUAAUUAGAAAAGGUUUUCAAAACCCGGUGCCCAAACGUCUACUAUAUUGCUUUAUUUUUGUAGUGACCAUAUCCAUGUUAAAAUAUAUUUUCAAAUACAAGGCAAUAAAAUAUAUUUUUGAC
rnacentral:lncRNA from 1 species